CGCUGGCGGCGUGCCUAAUACAUGCAAGUCGAACGGUCUUUCUAUGGAAGCUUGCUUCCACUGAGAAGAUAGUGGCGAACGGGUGAGUAACACGUGGGUAACCUGCCCAUAAGAGGGGGAUAACAUCCGGAAACGGGUGCUAAUACCGCAUAGUUUUCUUGAUCGCAUGAUCGGGAAAGGAAAGACGGCCUUUGUGCUGUCGCUUAUGGAUGGACCCGCGGCGUAUUAGUUAGUUGGUGAGGUAACGGCUCACCAAGACGAUGAUACGUAGCCGACCUGAGAGGGUGAUCGGCCACAUUGGGACUGAGACACGGCCCAAACUCCUACGGGAGGCAGCAGUAGGGAAUCUUCCGCAAUGGACGAAAGUCUGACGGAGCAACGCCGCGUGAGUGAAGAAGGUUUUCGGAUUCGUAAAACUCUGUUGUCAGAGAAGAACAAGAUGGAGAGUAACUGCUCCAGCCUUGACGGUAUCUGACCAGAAAGCCACGGCUAACUACGUGCCAGCAGCAGC
rnacentral:rRNA from 1 species